rnacentral:rRNA from 1 species
UACGUAGGGGGCAAGCGUUGUUCGGAAUUACUGGGCGUAAAGGGCGCGUAGGCGGCACUGCAAGUCGGGUGUGAAAGCCCGGGGCUCAACCCCGGAACGUCUUUCGAAACUGCUGAGCUCGAGUGCGGAAGAGGCAACUGGAAUUCCCAGUGUAGCGGUGAAAUGCGUAGAUAUUGGGAAGAACACCUGAGGCGAAGGCGGGUUGCUGGGCCGACACUGACGCUGAGGCGCGAAAGCCAGGGGGGCAAACGGG